ACAGGAAUAGUUAUCUGCUUAGUCUCAUCCUUUGUAUCUGGCAAUCUGAGGAAAAGGUCUGAGCCAGCAUGAAGACAGAAUCCCCUCUUCAUUAGAGAAAAACUUUCUGCCUGACGCAGUUCAUUUCAAGAAGUGCACGAUGACAGAGCGUGGAAUUAAAUGGGCUUGUGAGUAUUGUACAUAUGAAAAUUGGCCAUCUGCAAUCAAAUGUACCAUGUGUCGUGCUCAGAGACCUAGUGGAACAAUUAUCACAGAAGAUCCAUUUAAAAGUGGUUCAAGUGAUAUUGGCAGAGACUGGGAUCCUACAAGCACUGAAGGAGGGAGUAGUCCUUUGAUAUGUCCAGAUUCUAGUGCAAGACCAAGGGUUAAAUCAUCUUACAGUAUGGAAAGUGCAAAUAAGUGGUCGUGCCACAUGUGCACAUACUUGAACUGGCCAAGAGCGAUAAGAUGUACUCAGUGCUUGUCUCAACGUAGGACCAGGAGUCCCACAGAGUCUCCUCAGUCUUCAGGUUCUGGUUCAAGACCAGUCCCUUUUUCUGUUGAUCCAUGCGAGGAAUAUAAUGACAGAAAUAAACUAAACACAAGGGCUCAGCACUGGACUUGUUCUGUUUGUACAUAUGAAAACUGGGCAAAGGCCAGGAAAUGCGUUGUAUGUGAUCAUCCCAGACCUAACAACAUCGAAGCAAUAGAACUGGCAGACACAGAAGAGGCUUCUUCGAUCAUAAACGAGCAAGACAGAGCUCGAUGGAGAGGAAGCUGUAGUAGUGGUAAUAGCCAAAGAAGAUCUCCACCUACAACCAAACGUGAAUCUGAUGUGAAGAUGGACUUCCAAAGAAUUGAAUUGGCUGGGGCUGUUGGCAGCAAGGAAGAACUUGAAGUUGACUUCAAAAAACUAAAACAAAUAAAAAAUCGGAUGAAAAAGACUGACUGGCUGUUUCUAAAUGCUUGUGUUGGUAAGUUGUUUGCUGCUACCUUAUACUGUUACGUCUGUGGUUAGGUAUUUUGGGAGAAUGAAAAAUUAAAACAUAAACUUGACAUUUGAUUUCAAAACAGCUUUUUUAAUCUCUGCUUUUUAAUUUUAAAAAGUAAACCAAAUGUGGAACUUCCUGAAAUAGCACCUGCUAAGAGAGGGUGCAGAGUUCACCCAUAAUCUGAACAGAGUUAGACAUGUUUCCCAACUAUGCUUGGACUUUUUUGACCUCUUGUAGAAAUGGAUAUCCGUGUAACCAAAUCCUAUUGUUCUUGUAGUCAUCGAAAGGUGGAAAAAUAGCAAAACCAGUUUAGAGAACAACAUAAUGCAUAUAGAACUGU